rnacentral:rRNA from 1 species
AUGUGCUUCAAGUUGAACAGCAAGGAGAGGGUGGGGUGCUGCCUGCUGGUGCUGCUGUGCAUCGCGCUCCUCGUCGGCGUCCUCUUCGGGAUGGGCGUCUUCCGCCACGGCUACGACAAGCUCAGCGAGCUCGGCCGCAACCGCACCUGCUACGACUGCCACACCAACUAG